rnacentral:rRNA from 1 species
UACGAAGGGUGCAAACGUUGCUCGGAAUUAUUGGGCGUAAAGCGCACGUAGGCGGCUUAGCAAGUCGGAUGUGAAAUCCCUCGGCUCAACCAAGGAAGUGCAUCCGAAACUGCUGAGCUUGAGUACGAAAGAGGAUCGCGGAAUUCCCGGUGUAGAGGUGAAAUUCGUAGAUAUCGGGAGGAACACCAGUGGCGAAGGCGGCGAUCUGGCCCGGUACUGACGCUGAGGUGCGAAAGCGUGGGGAGCAAACAGG